CAUAACUGUUAUCUUAGAAAGUGUCCAUUGAGUAUUUACUAGUUGACCACUAUUUCAUUCUGAGCGGCCUGAGACAGGAGAUGUUCAUUUAAAUGCUCACAGACUGAUAAGAACUUGAGACGAUUCACAAUCCAACACAAAAUCCAAUGUGACAAUAGAAGUGAUCAUGGUAGAUCACUCCAUGUGUAAGAACCAGGUGAUUCACACAUGGACCGGCAGUUAUCACUCUAGAUUGAGUGUAGGUACACAGCCAAAUGAUACUUUCACUGAUGAAUUUAGAACCAUGUAUUUCACUAUGUAUGUGGAAGAAUUUUAGUAAAUCUUUAUAAAUUAUAAAAAAGAAAGAAUUGU
ensembl:lncRNA